UGGAAACGGUGGCUAAUACCGGAUAAGCCUUUGGGUAAAAAAUUUAUUGCCCCAAGAGGAGCUCGCGUCUGAUUAGCUAGUUGGUGAGGUAAAAGCUCACCAAGGCAGCGAUCAGUAGCUGGUCUGAGAGGACGAUCAGCCACACUGGGACUGAGACACGGCCCAGACUCCUACGGGAGGCAGCAGUGGGGAAUAUACCGCAAUGGGCGAAAGCCUGACGGAGCAAGACCGCGUGAGGGAGGAAGGCUCUUGGGUUGUAAACCUCUUAUCUCAGGGAAGAAGCUCUGACGGUACCUGAGGAAUCAGCCUCGGCUAACUCCGUGCCAGCAGCCGCGGUAAUACGGAGGAGGCAAGCGUUAUCCGGAAUUAUUGGGCGUAAAGCGUCCGCAGGUGGCGAUUCAAGUCUGCUGUCAAAGCACGGGGCUUAACUCCGUUAAGGCAGUGGAAACUGAAUAGCUAGAGUGCCGUAGGGGUAGAGGGAAUUCCCGGUGUAGCGGUGAAAUGCGUAGAGAUCGGGAAGAACAUCGGUGGCGAAAGCGCUCUACUGGACGGCAACUGACACUCAGGGACCGAAAGCUAUGGGAGCGAAUGGGAUUAGAUACCCCAGUAGUCCUAGCUGUANACGAUGGAUACUAGGUGUAGCUUGUAUCGACCCGAGCUGUGCCGAAGCUAACGCGUUAAGUAUCCCGCCUGGGGAGUACGCACGCAAGUGUGAAACUCAAAGGAAUUGACGGGGGCCCGCACAAGCGGUGGAGUAUGUGGUUUAAUUCGAUGCAACGCGAAGAACCUUACCAGGGCUUGACAUGUCCGGAAUCCCGGUGAAAGCUGGGAGUGCCUUCGGGAGCCGGUACACAGGUGGUGCAUGGCUGUCUGUCAGCUCGUGUCGUGAGAUGUUGGGUUAAGUCCCGCAACGAGCGCAACCCUCGUCUUUAGUUGCCAGCACUAAGUUGGGCACUCUAGAGAGACUGCCGGUGACAAAACCGGAGGAAGGUGGGGAUGACGUCAAGUCAUGCAUGCCCCUUACGCUGCUGGGCGACACACGUACUACAAUGGUCG
rnacentral:rRNA from 1 species